GACGAACGCUGGCGGCGUGCUUAACACAUGCAAGUCGAACGGAAAGGCCCUGCUUUUGUGGGGUGCUCGAGUGGCGAACGGGUGAGUAACACGUGAGUAACCUGCCCUUGACUUUGGGAUAACUUCAGGAAACUGGGGCUAAUACCGGAUAGGAGCUCCUGCUGCAUGGUGGGGGUUGGAAAGUUUCGGCGGUUGGGGAUGGACUCGCGGCUUAUCAGCUUGUUGGUGGGGUAGUGGCUUACCAAGGCUUUGACGGGUAGCCGGCCUGAGCGGGUGACCGGCCACAUUGGGCCUGAGAUACGGCCCGGACUCCUCCGGGAGGCAGCAGUGGGGAAUAUUGCACAAUGGGCGGAAGCCUGAUGCAGCAACGCCGCGUGCGGGAUGACGGCCUUCGGGUUGUAAACCGCUUUCGCCUGUGACGAAGCGUGAGUGACGGUAAUGGGUAAAGAAGCACCGGCUAACUACGUG
rnacentral:rRNA from 1 species